UACGUAGGGGUCGAGCGUUGUCCGGAGUUACUGGGCGUAAAGCGCGUGCAGGUGGCUCAUUACGCCCGGCGUGAAAGCCCCCGGCUCAACCGGGGAGGGUCGUCGGGGACGGGUGAGCUUGAGGAUAGCAGGGGCUGGUAGAAUUCCCGGUGUAGUGGUGAAAUGCGUAGAGAUCGGGAGGAAUACCCGUGGCGAAGGCGGCCAGCUGGGCUACACCUGACACUGAGACGCGAAGGCGUGGGGAGCGAACGGG
rnacentral:rRNA from 1 species